AAGGUGAAGUGUGCAAAAUUGCAUUUGUUCUCUUCUUCCCUCGACCUCGAUCUCUUCCGCUUUGAUUCGAUGGGUGAAUGGGAGCUGGAUGAGAUGCCUCUCCCGGCGCUGUUCGAAGAGGCCUCGAAGAUCCGUCUCAUGGUAUCCGAAUCUUCUGUCGAUCAGGAUGUUCUACGUAAGGGGAUCCUGGCGCUGCGGCGCUGCGAUGAGAUGAUAAGUAAGUUGGGGUUGUUCUCGUCUAAUGAGACAAAGGAAGAUGUUAGCACUUAGCACGGUCAAUCUGAAGUAUUUGUUGGAGUUCAUUUCAAUUUUUGAAGCCUUGGAGCUUGUUCCUGAAGAUGAGUUGGAAAGUUUUAGCCAAGGAGGGCCAGAUAAUUUUACAACACGAAGAGCGAAAAAGGUUGCCCGAUUCAAUCGGCAGAGAGCUGCAGAAGCAAAGCUGCAAGAGAUUAAAGAAAAAAAAGAAAGGCGUCAUAGGUCAUUGAGGGCAGCAGCUCUCUCUUCGCCAGUUGAAGUUGGGGAGGAUGAUGUACUUGAUGAUGAUGGAGAGGAAGAAAGAGAGGCGUGGAUUACAACAAUCUCCUUAUCUAUUUGUAAGGUCAGUUUGUUCAGACCCAAAAAAUGUUUAUUUAUGCGCAAAUACAUUCCAGUGUAUAUUUAUGUUAAAUUUCCUUUUGUAUUUAUAAUAAUGGCGAAUCUUCUUUUUUUCUCCUUCUCUGUGAGGCAUUUGAUCUCUUAGACAUGGUAAAGAAAGAAGAAGAAAUGCUUUUCGGGGUGAAGGAGAGACAGUCAAAGACUACCAAUAAUGAGUAAAGAGGAAGCUGGAUUGUGCGAAAUGGAGAUGAUGAAGAAAUGGCAUGAAAAGAAUGUGAGGAUUGCGGAAGAAGCAAACUCAUCAUGGCACAAGGAUAUCACUGCACCGACAGAUGUGGACGACGACACAGAGAUAAAAAAAGGCAAGAGCAUGGGACGACUGGAAAGAUGAAAAUCCUCGUGGUGCUGGCAACAAGAAAUUAACACCUUGCGGGCAAUGGAUACCAGGCCUCCCAUUGUAUGUUAAAAUUUUGGCAGAAACCAUAUUUAAAAUCAAAUUUUGUAAGAACUCAACGAUGAUUUCCAAAAGAUUUGACUCUAAAUAUUUUAGGUGAAAUUAAAUAAUUUGAUAGGAUAGUUCUUGAACAUAUUGCAAAAUA